rnacentral:rRNA from 1 species
AGCAGCCGCGGUAAUACGUAGGGUGCGAGCGUUAAUCGGAAUUACUGGGCGUAAAGCGUGCGUAGGCGGUUCUUUGUGUCCGCUGUGAAAUCCACGGGCUCAACCUGGGAACUGCAUUUGUGACUGCAAGGCUAGAGUACGGCAGAGGGGGAUGGAAUUCCGCGUGUAGCAGUGAAAUGCGUAGAUAUCUGCAGGAACACCCGUGGCGAAAGCGGCGCGCUGGACCGUUACUGACGCUGAGGAACGAAAGCUAGGGGAGCAAACAGGAUUAGAUACCCUGGUAAAGGG